GUGGGGAAUCUUGCGCAAUGGGCGAAAGCCUGACGCAGCCAUGCCGCGUGAAUGAUGAAGGUCUUAGGAUUGUAAAAUUCUUUCACCGGGGACGAUAAUGACGGUACCCGGAGAAGAAGCUCCGGCUAACUUCGUGCCAGCAGCCGCGGUAAUACGAAGGGGGCUAGCGUUGCUCGGAAUUACUGGGCGUAAAGGGCGCGUAGGCGGAUAUUUAAGUCGGGGGUGAAAGCCCGGGGCUCAACCUCGGAAUAGCCUUCGAUACUGGAUAUCUUGAGUACGGGAGAGGUGUGUGGAACUCCGAGUGUAGAGGUGAAAUUCGUAGAUAUUCGGAAGAACACCAGUGGCGAAGGCGACACACUGGCCCGUUACUGACGCUGAGGCGCGAAAGCGUGGGGAGCAAACAGGAUUAGAUACCCGGGUAGUCC
rnacentral:rRNA from 1 species